AACCAAACCCUUGGAAGUAUAAGUAUGUCCCAUGCCAGGACAUAAGUGUAAGUAUACUCCAUUUGGGGUAUACUUAUGCUAAAAAAUUAGUUGUU
rnacentral:miRNA from 1 species